UACGUAGGGAGCGAGCGUUGUCCGGAAUCAUUGGGCGUAAAGCGCGCGUAGGCGGCCCGAUAAGUCCGCUGUGAAAGUCAACGGCUCAACUGUUGAAAGCCGGUGGAUACUGUCGGGCUAGAGUACGGAAGAGGCAAGUGGAAUUCCUGGUGUAGCGGUGGAAUGCGCAGAUAUCAGGAGGAACACCUAUAGCGAAGGCAGCUUGCUGGGACGUUACUGACGCUAAGGCGCGAAAGCGUGGGGAGCGAAC
rnacentral:rRNA from 1 species